rnacentral:rRNA from 1 species
UACGAAGGGGGCUAGCGUUGCUCGGAAUGACUGGGCGUAAAGGGCGCGUAGGCGGCUUGGCAAGUCAGGCGUGAAAUUCCUGGGCUCAACCUGGGAGGUGCGCGCGAAACGGGGGGGCUUGAGUUCGGGAGAGGAGCGUGGAAUUCCCAGUGUAGAGGUGAAAUUCGUAGAUAUUGGGAAGAACACCGGUGGCGAAGGCGGCGCUCUGGACCGAGACUGACGCUGAGGCGCGAAAGCGUGGGGAGCAAACAGG